AUCAGAAAAGCAGCAUCUGAUGACAGAGGACCUUUUGAUUUUUCAGUUUAUGUUCUGCUGCUGUACAAUGACACUACUUGGUGUUUGCAUUUUUAGCCUGUACGUUGCUGGUUUACUGCUUGCCUUUAAAUGAGGUAUGGUCAGAUAAGGAAGCUGGCUGUGAACCUUUUAAUGUUGCUGUGAAUCUGAUUUAUUUAAUUCAGACAGGAAUUUCACCAAGCCUUUCUCUCCCUUCCUUUCCUAGUUUCCUUGCAGUAGGUCGGGUACAGUGAUGACAAGCAGCAGUGGAAAGCCUUGGAAUCGCUCUUUGUGUGUCCUUUUCCCCCUGUACCAUUUUCAGUGUUGAGCCACUUAGAAAAUGGUCUGAAGAUUCAUUAAAAAAUGCCCAUGCGUCUUCAAGUGCCUCAGGGAGUCCGUUUAUUUCUACCUCCUGCAAAUGGUGACCCCGACGUGAUCCUGAGAGCGCAGAAGACGCGGCACGAGAAGCCCUGGUUGGAGGUACUGCUGUCGGCGGGACCGAAGCAGGGAAGCUGAGCCUAGGCUAAGAAGACACCUGAAAGGAAGCUGUAUGGGCAACAGCGCAGACAGGAGAAACAAGUCGACACGUCCAGCGACACCUGCGUUCGGCUUUGGCAGCACACGGCAUUCCACUUCAGAUAAAAACUGACAAUGAGCCGUGCUACAUCGCACAGACAAAUCAAAAGUUUUGUAGUCAAUGGGGUAUUGUACAUACCACAGGUAUACCACAUUCCCCUACAGGCCAGGCAAUUGUAGAAUGCAUGAAUCAGACUUUGAAACGCCAACUGCAAAAACAAAAGGAGGGAGAGCAGAUGGCUACUCGUCACGAACGAUUGAACAAAGUUGUAUAUGUGUUGAAUUACUUGAGAUUGAUAGAUGGCGAAAGUGUACCACCAAUUGUAAAACAUGCGCAAGGCAUGGUAGGAGAUUUGUUUGACGUUAAUAGCAAUGUUCAAGUUAGGGUUAAAAACGUUGAGAAAAAUGUAUGGGAAGGACCGUUUCAAUUAAUAACCUGGGGACGAGGUUAUGCUUGUGUU